rnacentral:misc_RNA from 1 species
AUGAAUCCUCCUAUGCCUCACGCCUGCGUUGCUGGCUCACUUUGGUCUGCCGCCGUUUGUCUGGAAGCACUUCCCGAAACACGACCCGAAUAGAAAAGAAAAAAAAAACACAUAGCUGAAAGCGGAGGCGUCUCGCUGCGAGGUAGUUAGCUGCACAAGCAAACCACCACCGUAGCAGAGACGUACUCGACGAUAAUCAAUAUUGAGGUGUGUGCGCGGCGCAGCGAAUCCAAACGGAGCGAGCUGGCCUCGGUCUCCCACUCCCUUCAUUCGGCUCUUAUUCGCCGGCCGCGCUCGUCGUUCCUCAAGGCGUCAAGAAAAGUAACACAAGGUGAACUGCAGGCAGUGGACUACCUCUUGGGUGUAUCCGGUCUUCCUUCGUCCUCUCCCUCCCGCAGCCGCAUACCCACACCGACUCCCCCUCCUCCCUUCUUUGCAGAACACUGCUCCAGGAAACCAGGACAUUUCGUUUCUCUAACUCGGUUUUCGUCUGCACGCGUCAUCUAUUCACCUUUCGCUCCGUCCCCCCCCCCCAAUUACUGUUUUUACCCACUCUGGCCCAGUGCGUGUGUGUGUGUGUGGUGUGCUUGUAGGGGAUGUCGCGCGCGCGCCUGCCUUUGCCACCACUUUCCUCGUUCACCUCUCCCGUCUCCCGCGCAUUCCAAGUGAAGUAUUUCUGGGCGCGCUGCGUGGAGUGUGUCGUGUCAUCGUGGUCUUUCUCUUUGCGUGCUUGACGGAGCCCCGCCCCGCUUCUCGCUGCUCUGUUCCUGGCUCUUUCAGUUGCCCAAAUCGAAUCUCGCUUCUGUGCGUGCGUCUUUUUGUGGGUGUGCAUUGACGCACUCCUGCCCUUUUUUCGCGCUUUUCGCUGUUUGCUUUCUCAGCUCUCUGCAAGACAGUCGUCAGGGCUGCAUGAGUUUUGUCCACUUCGAGACGUCCCUCUCAUUUCUCUUACUGCGCCACCACCACAGAAAGGCACUUGUGGCGUUCCAUCGUUUGCUGUUGCUGUGUCAUGUUUUUGUAGUGGUAGCUUCUGCGCACCUUUUCUGCCUCCGCACGAGGCUCUGCAGGGGAAGUGUUAUUAACUCUAUCGUGCACGCGCGCGUGUGCAUCUUCUCGUGUUGCCGUUGCUCUCCUCUGUCAUUUGUGUUGCCCCUCUCUUCUUCCACCCCCUUCUGUCUCGACCGCUUUCGUCGCCGUCUCUGUCUGCUUUGCCCUGUUUCUGUGUGUGUGCGUGUGUGUUCAUGUGUAUUUUCCUCGUCUUCGCCGCUCUCCAUCGUUAUCUCCCUACUUCUUCACUUUUGACCUCGUUUUCUCCGUCCCUUGCGCUCUCGCUUCCCCUUCUCCCAACGUUGUGUUUGCCUGCCUGCUGCUACUACUGCUGGAACCUCCCUCCCUCGCACGCACCCCCUCCUCCACCCCUCUUUGCCUUCGAUUCUGCGCAUCUCCUUCGCCAUUUUCUCGAACUCGCUGCCAGACGCAUUUCGCGUCUUCGCUACGUGCCGCUGUUUCGCGUUCUCCUCUUGUGCUUUUUCCUCCCUGUGGGUGCGGGUGCGUUUCGCGUCCAUCGACAACAAUGUCUUCACCAUUAUCACUGUCAUCAUCGUGGGUGGACUGCUUAAUGUCCAUCCGCUUCGACCUCGACAUCGGGCCCAAGAUCGAAUUCGUCUCCCCACCCGAUGCCAUCACAGAGGAGGGCAAGGUUAAGUUACUGCGCUGCGCCUUCCCAGACUGCAACCCGGAUUGCGGGUACAACUUCAUCUUCUACUUCACAAUGCCAGACUGCACCACGGCGGCGGUGCAGAGCUUCUCGCAGACGGUGGCGCCACCUACGACAGGAAACACUGUGCCGGAGCUGUAUGGCGCGGCCUUCUACCGCCAGAAGCAUGACCCUAACGUGCCGCGGUGCUACGUGCAGCAGGUGUUGGUGCUCCUCUCCCACCUGCCGUACUACAACGUGCACGAGAUCAUCCUCCGCGUUGUGGCGCCGCGCUUUUGCCAGUGCUGUCCCCUCUCCCCAGAUACUGGUAAGGUGCCUGUGUCCAGCUUACUGAUCCCCGUCCCGGAGGCCUACUUCGAGUUUGACCAGUCCUACAGCGCCGAGCACUACACACAAGAGGACGUGCUGAGUGACGCGAUGGCGGAGCUGGCCCAGUGGCCCUCGCCUCACCCGCAGGCGCGCUACACGGUGACGCUGCUUCAGCAGGCCCUCAUCUUCAUUACGCCGGCGCACUCGCAGCGGCAGUCAAGUCGCGCCACGCGCAGCAGCUGCGCCUCGAUGCGCAGUGCCAUGUCGGUGGACACGCGAGUAGAGUUUAUGGAGGUGACACGAGGCAGCCCGCGGCACCGAGGCAGCGCUUUGGGCAGCGACUUCUUGCCCCUCUUCCGACUCCUCGGUGAGCAGCUGCACCAUCUCACGCACGUGUGGGAGCUGCUCAUUCGCCACGAGCCGCUCUUCAUCCUCAGUAACACUCCCUGCAUGGCGUCCGCGGCGGCCUUCGGCAUCGCGUCGUUGGUGCUGCCCAUCGAGUUCAGUGGCACGCUGCGGUCUUACUUCACAGUUCAAAACGAAGACUUCCCGCGACUGAGUCGGAUGGGCAAGGUGCUUUCUUUCCCGAGGAACGAGGGCCUCAUCGUGGCCGGUACGAACCCGUUCCUGCUGCGCAGCUUCAGUGGGUGGCCCAGCUUGAUGGUCGUGAUGGACAGCAACACGUCGAUCACGGUAAACGGCUCCAUCGCGUCGCCGCCACCGAGCGCUGUGGCUGGGGCGAUCUCACCUCUGCCGCAGGCCAGUCCACUCCACUCGCAGCGGUCAGGUGCCUGUACAGCAGCGUCGCUGGCUAGCUCUCUGCUGCGGUCAGCGCUACCCGGGGAGCCGAGCGCCGAAACGUCGCCGCGGCCGCCGUGGAACGGUGCCCACGCGCGCACGGCGUCUGGACAGGAGCCCUUGUCGGUGGCCAUGUGCAGCAUCAACUCCACUACAUCCUUGGGUAGUGGGUCCACAAGCGCGCACCAGCAAAACGGCCUACGCGCCCCUGUCACGGUGGUGCCGUCGAGUUUCAGUAGCUUCAACGGCAACGGUGACGUCUUCGCCGAUGUGGCGAGUCGAAAACCGAUCUUCUCCUCCGCCUCUUCCGAUACGGCGGACCUGCCCGCCACCUACAACGUGGAGUCCUCGACGGAGACGUCGCCGUCUACCUCGAGCCCGUCUCAUGACUCGGGUCGCCGAGUGGAGGCAGCGCAACAGGCGCAGCGCACCGAGGAUGGAAGUCUAGCUGGGGAGCACGCGUCUACGAGCGCGCUCGGGGAGUCUCCGGCGCAGCUCGGCAGUGGCAUCAGCAACCGCGCGGAGAGAUUCUCACAUGGACAAGGGCAUGCUCGUCCCGACAGCAGUGAUGCAACCUUGGCGACUGCGGCUCACCUAGCGCCGGCCCCGAUCACCAUGCCGUCGCCUGUCGACUUCUCUGUCACGCUCUUCACAACGGAUCACUACAAGACCACAGUGGAGUCGGUGCGUGCGGCCGAGCACCGAAGGCGUGGCGGCGCCAACCAGGACAACUCGCGCAAAAACCUGCAGCAGCGCCUCCACAACUACUUCGAUUCUUCUGUGCACUUCCUGUUGAACCACGAGGAGCAAACGCAGAUGCUACUGAAGCGGCUACAGAUGGUGUCCCUGCUUGACGCGGAUGCCCAGCGGACAUCCGUCUCACUAAGUCUUACGCACUGGCACGGUAAUCCGCGAACGGCUUCCUCACCGACUACCAGCACCAAAAGUCCACCCUUUGCCUCCCCGACACCACCGUUGUCCUCAGCGAACACUAACAGCGCCUCCGGACACCGCGUGGAUCCGGCGGCGGCGACUAACGGCAUUACGUCGUGCUCGCAUUUCUCCGUCGCUGAUGAUAUGGUGCGCAAGUUCUUCACAUCCCUCACCUCCGAGUUUCUCACGCCUGUCACGGCGUGGUUCCAGAGGGUCACCGCCCCGUACACGGCCUUCCACCUGUGCGAUCGCGCCUUGUGCGACGCGCUCCUGACCCCUUCCAGCUUUCUCGACGACUUUGCGCAGCGGCACCGCGAGACAGCCCCGUCCAUGUGGACCCAGCGACACUCGUACAAGACGUACAAGGUGGUGUACGAGCGGUUCGCGCACGGUUGCCUCUUCAAAGCCUAUGUUCUCCAGCUCGUGGAUGGGAGCCUGCGGCAGCAGAUGGAGGACUUCCAGGUGGAGGACUGGGUCACCCGUGUGCCCUCCGACGCGGAACGCAUUGAUCUUCUCAUCAACCUAUUCAACACGGUCCAACGGGAGCUGAACGAAACCCUCGAUCCAGACGUGCUCUUCGUGACCUCUGCCACAUCGGUGCUGGCCAGCAUGGCCGUGGUGCUGCAACAGCCUCACCGGGAGCAAUUUAUGCUGAAGAUAGGAGAGCUGAAGCUAUGACGCGUGAUGCACGUGCUUAAGAUGGGGUACAUGCGCCUAGGCGAGCUUGUGCGUGCGUGCAAGUCGAAGAGAACGGAGCAGCUGAUGUGUUUUUCCUCACCUUAUCGAGGCAGGCACGACAAGGUCACGGUAUCGAGGCCUUUCUGUGAAAGGCAUGUCUGCGUGUGGGUUGGUUUAAUAAGCGACUGUGUUCACAAGAUCAUGGCUGCAUACUAAUAGAUGAACGCACAAGUGACCACCACUACAACUGCUGGUCUGUCUAAGCCGCCUUGGACGGCCUCUGCCGUGUUGUAAGGUGAGGGAGGAUGGAAAAGGGCGCGCUUCAAGGACAGUGAGCGGGCUACUGAGAAGGUUGGCUGUGGGAAGCGCCGUUGCAGAUGUGGCGCUGCUCCCCUGGCCCGUUUCUUGGGUAGCACCCGUUUGUGCUCUGUGUGUAUGUUCGUGUCGGGGGUGGGCGGAGGAGGGAGGGUGCAUGUAUUGCA